rnacentral:rRNA from 5 species
GUGACCUGCGGAGGAUCAUU